UACGUAGGGUGCAAGCGUUGUCCGGAAUUAUUGGGCGUAAAGAGCUCGUAGGCGGCUUGUCGCGUCUGCUGUGAAAACUCGGGGCUUAACCCCGGGCCUGCAGUGGGUACGGGCAGACUAGAGUGCGGUAGGGGAGACUGGAAUUCCUGGUGUAGCGGUGAAAUGCGCAGAUAUCAGGAGGAACACCGAUGGCGAAGGCAGGUCUCUGGGCUGUAACUGACGCUGAGGAGCGAAAGCAUGGGGAGCGAACAGG
rnacentral:rRNA from 1 species